GAGUUUGAUCAUGGCUCAGGACGAACGCUGGCGGCACGCCUAACACAUGCAAGUCGAACGGAGAUAUUUUGGUUUACUGAGAUAUCUUAGUGGCGGACGGGUGAGUAACACGUGAGCAACCUGCCUCUGAGAGAGGGAUAGCUCCUGGAAACGGAUGGUAAUACCUCAUAACAUAACGAAGCCGCAUGACUUUGUUAUCAAAGAUUUAUCACUCAGAGAUGGGCUCGCGUCUGAUUAGAUAGUUGGUGAGGUAACGGCCCACCAAGUCGACGAUCAGUAGCCGGACUGAGAGGUUGAACGGCCACAUUGGGACUGAGACACGGCCCAGACUCCUACGGGAGGCAGCAGUGGGGAAUAUUGCACAAUGGGGGAAACCCUGAUGCAGCGAUGCCGCGUGGAGGAAGAAGGUUUUCGGAUUGUAAACUCCUGUCUUAAAGGACGAUAAUGACGGUACUUUAGGAGGAAGCUCCGGCUAACUACGUGCCAGCAGCCGCGGUAAUACGUAGGGAGCGAGCGUUGUCCGGAAUUACUGGGUGUAAAGGGAGCGUARGCGGGAUGGCAAGUCAGAUGUGAAAACUAUGGGCUCAACCCAUAGACUGCAUUUGAAAACUGUUGUUCUUGAGUGAAGUAGAGGUAARCSGAAUUCCUGGUGUAGCGGUURAAAUGCGUAGAUAUCAKGGAGGAUACAUCGGUGGMGAARGCG
rnacentral:rRNA from 1 species